rnacentral:rRNA from 1 species
CGUCGAGGUUGCCUACAUGGCGACGACGGGUAUCCGGCCUGAGAGGGUGCCCGGACACAUUGGGACUGAGACACGGCCCAGACUCCUACGGGAGGCAGCAGUGGGGAAUAUUGCACAAUGGGCGCAAGCCUGAUGCAGCGACGCCGCGUGAGGGAUGACGGCCUUCGGGUUGUAAACUCCUUUCGCUAUCGACGAAGCCUUU